CCUUCGCGUCAUCCGGUCCUCUGGUAGUGACGUAUUUAUUAGAUCUAAACCCCCCCGGGUUCUGCCGUACUUGAUAUGAUUCAUGCUAACUUCACGAAUCGCACGCCCUCCGCCACGCAACGUUUCAUUUUAUUCCCCAUCCUCUUUCGAUUGGAUUGUAUUGCACUACCCUGGCAAUUUCGGGAAAUGGGAAUUAAAAAUAGAUUUCGGGUCCGCAUCCGGGUCCUGAGGGUAUCAUAAUUCAUCGAGGGACGGGGGGAGGCACUUACAUUACCCUAAUUCAAGGAAGGUAGGACAAGAAAAAAAAACUCGGGCCCCACUUGUGUUUGGGAGGUUGAUGUGAGGUAAUAUUCAUACCACUUAUCGAGGAAGAAUUGGAGGGCGGGUCUGGUGGCGGCAGCCGCGGCGGUUCCUGCUCCAACAACGAAGAUUUAAAAAAA
rnacentral:rRNA from 1 species